rnacentral:rRNA from 1 species
CCUACGGGUGGCAGCAGUCGGGAAUAUUGCGCAAUGGAGGAAACUCUGACGCAGUGACGCCGCGUGCAGGAAGAAGGUUUUCGGAUUGUAAACUGCUUUUGACAGGGAAGAAAAAAGACAGUAACUGUAUAAUAAGCCCCGGUCAACUACGGGCCAGCAGCCGCGGUGAUAAGUAGGGGGCAAGCGUUAUUCGGAUUUAUUGGGUGUAAAGGGUGCGUAGACGGGUAAGCAAGGUAGUUGUGAAAUCCCUCGGCUUAACUGCGGAACUGCAACUGAAACUGCUUCCCUUGAGUACUGGAGAGGUAAGUGGAAUUCCUGGUGUAGCGGUGAAAUGCGUAGAUAUUAGGAGGAACACCAGUGGCGAAGGCGACUUACUGGACAGUAACUGACGUUGAGGCACGAAAGUGUGGGGAGCAAACAGGAUUAGAUACCCCUGUAGUC